CUCCUCUGGCAAUGGGCAAAAAGGCACCUUAUUAGUGGUGUUCUUAUAUCAGUCAGGGGCAAAAUGGAUGGCAGUCCAUUAUUCAUUCUAACUUGAUGCCUGGUUUAGUAGCCAAAGCUGUCUUAUGCCUAGAACUCAUAA